AGCGCGCCCCGACUUGAAUGGAGCUCUUUUUCUGGCAUUGCGACGACAGAAUUUCGAUUGGAAGACUUAGCCUCAAUCGCAAUGACAGAAAAAAGCGGGAAUGGAAGGCGGAAAAAGGC
rnacentral:misc_RNA from 1 species